AUGAACGUUGGCGGCAUGGAUUAGGCAUGCAAGUCGCACGAGAACCCAAUUAGCUUGCUAUGAGGGGGACAGUGGCGUAAGGGAGAGUAACGCGUGGUUAUGUACCUUCGAGACCGGGAUAGUGUCGGGAAACUGGCAGUAAUACCGGAUAACAUCUUCGGAUCAAAUGGUGUGAUUCCGCUCGAAGAUCGGACCGCGUACUAUUAGCUUGUUGGUGGGGUAAUGGCCCACCAAGGCUGCGAUGGUUACCGGGUGUGAGAGCAUGGCCCGGCUCACUGGGACUGAGACACUGCCCAGACACCUACGGGUGGCUGCAGUCGAGAAUCUUCGGCAAUGGGCGAAAGCCUGACCGAGCGAUGCCGCGUGCGGGAUGAAGGCCCUCGGGUUGUAAACCGCUGUCAGUUGUUAGGAAAUGCUAUAGGGUUCUCUCUAUAGUUUGACCGAUCUUCAGAGGAAGGACGGGCUAAGUUCGUGCCAGCAGCCGCGGUAAGACGAACCGUCCAAACGUUAUUCGGUAUCACUGGGCUUAAAGCGUGCGUAGGCGGCUUGGUAGGUGAGAUGUGAAAGCCCACGGCUCAACCGUGGAAUUGCGUUUCAAACCCCCAAGCUCGAGGAAGAUAGGGGUGAUGGGAACUUAUGGUGGAGCGGUGAAAUGCGUUGAUAUCAUAGGGAACACCGGUGGCGAAAGCGCAUCACUGGAUCUUUUCUGACGCUGAGGCACGAAAGCUAGGGUAGCGAACGGGAUUAGAUACCCCGGUAGUCCUAGCCGUAAACGAUGAACACUGG
rnacentral:rRNA from 1 species